GAAAGCCAUAUCACACAAAGCUGGGAGCACUCACAGGAGCACAAGCCACAAGUCAGACCCAAAAGUGAAACCCAUAAAACAAACAAAGAAAAGAGUUGCAGCAUUGUCAGAGCCUCUCUCUCUCCCUUUCUCUCUCAACAACAACUCCAAAAUAAGAGUCCCCAGCCUUACCCCUAGACCAUAUUGGAAUCCGCAAUUCGCUUUCGGGGUUAUUGGGUUCCGGAUCUAUCACCCAAUUCGCCAACACUCGCUUUUUCUUGAGUUUCCCGAACGUCUCCAUGUUCCCUUCCGUUGUCUCUACAGGGAAGGGACCCUCUCUGCAUAUCCUUUUUAUUCUCUGCUAAACACUAAAAAUAAUCGCUCUUGCUAUUUUUACCGUUUUAACACACUACAACAAGUGUUUGUCUGCAUUACUUUGCAAUUUUGCAUGGCGGGAAA
rnacentral:misc_RNA from 1 species